CAGUAGCCGCGGUAAAACGGAGGGUGCAAGCGUUAAUCGGAAUUACUGGGCGUAAAGCGCACGCAGGCGGUCUGACAAGUCAGAUGUGAAAUCCCCGGGCUCAACCUGGGAACUGCAUCCGAAACUGGCAAGCUAGAGUAUGGUAGAGGGUAGUGGAAUUUCCUGUGUAGCGGUGAAAUGCGUAGAUAUAGGAAGGAACACCAGUGGCGAAGGCGACUACCUGGACUGAUACUGACACUGAGGUGCGAAAGCGUGGGGAGCAAACAGGAUUAGAUACCCGUGUAGUCCCUGUCUCUUAUCU
rnacentral:rRNA from 1 species